AGCGGCGGACGGGUGAGUAACGCGUGGGUAACCUGCCUCAUACAGGGGGAUAACAGUUAGAAAUGACUGCUAAUACCGCAUAAGACCACAGCACCGCAUGGUGCAGGGGUAAAAACUCCGGUGGUAUGAGAUGGACCCGCGUCUGAUUAGGUAGUUGGUGGGGUAACGGCCUACCAAGCCGACGAUCAGUAGCCGACCUGAGAGGGUGACCGGCCACAUUGGGACUGAGACACGGCCCAA
rnacentral:rRNA from 1 species